CAGAAAGAGGAAAAAAAGUAUGAUGUACUCAGACGAACAAAGUCGGUACUCUGAUGUAAUGAGAGUUUGCAACCAAAUAAUUAUAUCUUCUGCGGAGCCCAUUCUCAAAUGCAUAGAAACAUUGUGCAAGCAUUUUGAAGAUGACGUAAUAGUUAUUGCUGAUUACUGUACGGCGGAUGGAGGGAAUUCGGUUGAAAUACUUAACAAAAUGAAGGAAAAAAUAGAUGAACAUUCAAGACAGGUGUUUGUAAUAUUCGAAGAUCAUCCGAAUAAUAACUUUAGUAGUCUCUUCAGCACUAU